UUGGUUUCUAAUGGGUUCCUAUGGUCCGAUGUGUCUCUUCGGGUACAGGGUUGAGGGUAAGUCAUCUAAGGUCAUGAUCUUGGGUGACCUCUUCUCAUCAUAAACUUAGUAUGAUGAUUUUUCUAAGCAAUUGGAAAUCCAAUGCCCUUUCCAAACAGUACAUGUGGCCAUAAUUCUUUUUCCAGGCUUCUGCUUUCUUUGCUUCAUCCUUCUACCUGGGUGUUCACGUGAUGUCUUUUAGUAUUUUACAUGAACUUGAGUUGCCAUUCCUUGAUGGUUGGGAGUAUGAUUAGGUGACUAUUCCUUCAUCGAGAAAUUGGCAUAACUCAAUGUUUGGCUAGGUUCUAAGGUGAUUUCUCAUCUAGGGUUGGUUUUGUGUUCUAAUGGUUGGGGCUGGGUUAUCUUCUUCAUCGAGAGAUUUAUGUAUCCCGAUGAUGUGGUUCUGUCUUGGUUACUUCCCACCUAAAGUUGGUCUUAUCCUUUAUCUCCUAGGAGGUCCUAUUCAAAAUUUCCCCCAGGGUUUCACUAGUGGUACGAGAGUUGGAGAAGAAAGGUUGGGAUGCUAGUUUUCUGGAGCUUUUGCAGGUUUCUUAUUAUGAUAGUUUUUAUGACUACCGCUCACAUUCUUAUCUUUUUUACCUCUAGUGGUUGCAUUUUUAGUUAUUAUUUUUAUCCCUAAGUUCUUUGAGUUUUCUUCUUUCCCUUUGUUUAAUUUUCCCCUUCUAUCCUAGAUCGGUAAUUUACUAUUGUGUUUAUUAUUAUUGUGCUUGUGUAUUUUAUCCUUUUUAAUUCUAUUUAGGUUCUCUAUUGUAUAUCCAUUACUACUACUUACAUUUUAUCUAUUUUUAGGGUCCUCUAGGGCUACUGACAGUUUUCACAUAUUUUGUGAUGGUUCUUUUAUUUCCUUUGUUUUGUUAUUUACUAGUUAUCAUCCGUAGUUUAUUUCCUUUUGCUAGUAUUGAUUUUAUUAUCCUAUGUGGGUUGUUUAUUAUUAUUAUUGGUUUUUUUCCUAGUUUAUCUCUAUUUAUAGGAACUAUAUUUACUUGUUAGGUCUGUUCAUUUUUUUAGAAUUAACUUUUUACUUCCUUAAAUUUUAGGGUUUUAUUUUCCUAAGAUAUAUAUUAUUUUUAUAGUUUAUUAUGGUUAGUUUUAUUCGUUAUCUAUUCUACAUUACUCUUGAUUUGGAUUUACUUGGUUCCUUAUUACUAUUCUAUUUAUAAUUAUUGCAUCUCUUUUAGGUUCAUAACCUUAAAGUUUUACUCAUCUUUAUUUGUAUAUCUACAUUGGUUUUCUUUUGAUUUCAUUUAUUUGUUAUUUUAGGUGGGUAUAUAUACAUUUUUUACCGUAUUUUUUCUUAUUCUUAUUUCUAAUGCUUUUUAUCGGGUCUUUUAUGGCUCUACAGGUUUCUAAGUUAGAGCUUAGUUGUCUAUAUGUACUUAUGCAAGCAUUGUUUAGAUGGUUUUCUAUAUGAGUUGGUUCCAUUCAUAUUUACUACUAUAUUCCUUUUGGGUUUUGAUCCUAUAUACUUUUAGGAUUUGUUAUUCCUAUAUGUUUGUUCCAAUUUAUAUCUUUUUAGUGAAUUUCUUUAUGGGGUGCUACCCUACUUAAAAUGAUUUAGGGUUUUCUUUGCUUUGGGAUGAUUUGGUAUGGUGAUUUCUUGGUGAUUUUUAGUAUGGUCUAUCAUGCUUCUUCAUUUUUAACUAUUUGUCUAGGAUGUUUACUAGCUAAGUUUUGUCUUGUGAUCCUAGUUUUAAGGGUUCCCCUAUUCUUCUAAGGACCUUCUAUUUCUCAUCGUUUCCUACGAUGGUUCCGAACUUUUCUAACCUAGGAGUUACGGGAUCUAAGGGUUGAGAUUUCCUGUUUUAUUUUUAAUACAUACUCUUUUAUCCUUUAUUUGUUCGUUUGUUUAGCUUUAAGUAUUCCAUUAUAUUUUUCAUGGAGAUUCAUCCAGGAUUUCAAACCUUAUCACAUUAGGGAUAUAGGCUUGUCCUACAUCAUUCCUAUGAUUUUUCCGUAUUAUUCCUGGGACGUGUGGGUUAUGGCCCACUUUAAUCAGCUUCCCUGAUUUUCCAAGUUUAAAGUUCUAUUUACUUAAGAAUCUACCCACUUAAGGGGAUUCAAACCCGUAUUCUGUGUAAAAUAUUUAGGCUAUCCUUCGGAAAAUUUUCUUUAUUUCCGGGUCUUCAUUUGAUGGGUAAGUUUAGAGAGGCAAAGGCUAGAGUAAAUCCUUUGGUUUUCGGGAAGAGAGAGCCUUAUCCACACAAUUUUACAAUCAAUUAUCAAGCAAUCCUAUAAGUAUUACAUGGGAAGGAUCUAUCAGUUAGGUAUAAUCAAUCAUAAAUACGUCACCAUAGGGUUUUAGGCCUAUACUUUACAAAACAUCAAAUAUUGCUACGAUUUUAUUCUAGCUACUCUAGUGAUUUUAGCUUUUUAGCUAAACUUUCUCUUUAUAAUUCUCCAUAUUGUGGAUCAUCUCUCAAACUUCCUUCUAAUGAUGCAAACCUACUAGAGUAAUGUAAUAGGAGUUAAGCAAGAGGUACGGGGAAUAUGAGGGGACGAGAGGGGUAUUUUUUGAAAAUUCUUGAAAAAUUAUGAGCAGAAUAGAGAGUUCUAGGUUUCCCGAGGUUUAAUGGGUAGCUUAUAUGGUCCCCUAAAUUUAUUUAUUACUCUGAUACCAUCCCUUUGGGGACCUCCCUCCGGAGUCCCGCUAAUCACCUAUAUUAGUCCCUGGAUGAGUAGGCUAAAACAGUCAUCAACACAUUUUAGUAUUUUAAGCAAUAAAAAAGCAUAUAAUAUAAUAAGAAAAAGUUUUCACCUUACGCAGCGAAGUGGUGGCCAUCCACUAAGAAGAUGGUCUAAACACCAGAAGAUCUAUACCUACAUGAUAAGCAAGGCUAGGUACACUUAUUGUUGGUACUCAACAAGUCCAACAUUUACUAAGUAAUUAUAUGCAUUUCAGGAUGUGGACAAGGAAAUGGAUCUACGGGUAUAAUCCUAAGCCUAAAGAAUCUCUCAUAUGCAAGGUGAAUUUAGAAAGUUGAGUUUUGUAAAGACUCUCUAAGAAAGGUACUAUUAUUAAUAGAAUGAAAGUAGUGGUUCUGGAUGGGGAAACUACCUCCCCUACUAGUCCCCAAGUUUUAGUCUAGAUUCCAGUCCAUUAACCUUCCUCCAAUAUUUCAAAACACCAAUCCCACCCAAAGAGCAUCAAGAGUAAUCAUGGGGGCUUUGACUUAGUAAGCUCAUGACCAAGAGCCUCGGCUAUUCAAAUAGAUUAUACUCUACGCAGUGGUGUACACUUUCCUCAUAGGUCUGGCCAGCCCAUACCUAGUAUUCAGGAGGUACUAGCCUACGAGAUCCCUACCCGCCCGUGUCCAUCUCUGGAUAGCAUUCCCUAGGUCCAUCCACAGAUAUACCGAGGUCUAAACAGGGGCCACUAACAUCCGCCUUGCGGAUACUAUCCCAGGAAAUGCAUGCAUAAACAAAUUAUCAGGGCCUCCGGCCCUCUCAACAGUCGACCCAUGCCGACUGAACCUAGGACUACGUGAAGGUCCUGCUCCAGUAU
rnacentral:lncRNA from 1 species